CACUCCUGCGGGAGGCAGCAGUGGGGAAUUUUGGACAAUGGGCGAAAGCCUGACCCAGCCAUGCCGCGUGCAGGAUGAAGGCCUUCGGGUUGUAAACUGCUUUUGUACGGAACGAAAAGGCCUUUUCUAAUAAAGAGGGCUAAUGACGGUACCGUAAGAAUAAGCACCGGCUAACUACGUGCCAGCAGCCGCGGUAAUACGUAGGGUGCAAGCGUUAAUCGGAAUUACUGGGCGUAAAGCGUGCGCAGGCGGUUAUGUAAGACAGUUGUGAAAUCCCCGGGCUCAACCUGGGAACUGCAUCUGUGACUGCAUAGCUAGAGUACGGUAGAGGGGGAUGGAAUUCCGCGUGUAGCAGUGAAGUGCGUAGAUAUGCGGAGGAACACCGAUGGCGAAGGCAAUCCCCUGGACCUGUACUGACGCUCAUGCACGAAAGCGUGGGGAGCAAACAGGAUUAGAUACCCUAGUAGUCCCAUGA
rnacentral:rRNA from 1 species